CGACUCUCGGCAACGGAUAUCUCGGCUCUCGCAUCGAUGAAGAACGUAGCAAAAUGCGAUACCUGGUGUGAAUUGCAGAAUCCCGUGAACCAUCGAGUUUUUGAACGCAAGUUGCGCCCGAGGCCUUUUGGCCGAGGGCACGUCUGCCUGGGCGUCAC
rnacentral:rRNA from 1 species